rnacentral:misc_RNA from 1 species
GAAGAACUUUGCUUAGAACUGUCAAGCUUGAAGGGGCUCAAAACCCUGGCGAUGACAACAAAUGGGAUUACUCUGGGAAAAAAACUUCCAAAGCUGAAAGACUCUGGACUUAAUCUGGUGAACAUAAGCUUAGACACAUUGGUUCCAGCAAAAUUUGAGUUUAUGACUAGGCGCAAAGGGCAUGGAAGAGUAAUGGAGUCAAUUGAUGCUGCAGUAAAGCUUGGUUAUAAUCCUGUCAAAGUAAAUUGUGUUGUAA